GAGUUUGAUCGUGGCUCAGGACGAACGCUGGCGGCGUGCCUAAUACAUGCAAGUCGAGCGAGGGUUUUCGGACCCUAGCGGCGGACGGGUGAGUAACACGUAGGCAACCUGCCUCUCAGACCGGGAUAACAUAGGGAAACUUAUGCUAAUACCGGAUAGGUUUUUGGAUUGCAUGAUCCGAAAAGAAAAGAUGGCUUUUUGCUAUCACUGGGAGAUGGGCCUGCGGCGCAUUAGCUAGUUGGUGGGUAACGGCUACCAAGCGACGAUGCGUAGCCGACCUGAGAGGGUGACCGGCCACACUGGGACUGAGACACGGCCCAGACUCCUACGGGAGGCAGCAGUAGGGAAUUUUCCACAAUGGACGAAAGUCUGAUGGAGCAACGCCGCGUGAACGAUGAAAGGUCUUCGGAUUGUAAAGUUCUGUUGUCAGGGACGAACACGUACCGUUCGAACAGGGCGGUACCUUGACGGUACCUGACGAGAAAGCCACGGCUAACUACGUGCCAGCAGCCGCCGUAAC
rnacentral:rRNA from 1 species